UCAAUCCUUCGAAGAAUUGGAAAAAUGGAUUGCUUCAUGGAUAGUGUCAAAAGAGGACUCUUUUUUUCGGGCCGGAAUCCGAAAACUGCCGGAAAGAUGGAGAAAGUUGUCGCUAGCGAAGGACAAUACUUUGAAUAAUAUAUCUGUGAGCACUUUUUCGCAAUAAAACUUUUAAUUUUGGAAAAAAAACGGCGGAAGCAAAGUUGAACACCUGAUAUAUCGGGAUAUCUUUGUAGUUUUCGGUAAAAUUUAAAGUUUCCUCAGUUCUUGAAAACGCUUUUGUACAAAAAAGUGACAUGGCGACAUCCUGGUACCAAUAAAUAUCUCGUGAAACGUUCAUUUUCAGGCCUUACUGAAGCGGACGAUUCACAAUUUUUAUUAUAUAAAUAUUUCAGAUAUUAUACAACAAAUUUUCAAAAAAUUAAUAUUUGUUGCGACAAAUAAAUAAUUUUAAAUGAGGACAUCAUACCGAGUGACUUCAUUAUAUACACAAAUGAAAUGCAUGGAUAUGUGCGUAUGAACACAUGCCGUACAAAGCAAAUACUUACCUACGCAACUGGCUGACGCCGGACCGACGUCCGCCUAACAGUGGCACUGACUGCCGCGUUGCUUUUGAAAUACACGUAGAUAUAUAUAUGUACGCGAAAAGUAACUGAAAAACCAGCUCCAGUUAUCUAUCAAUUUAAUGCGGUGCUCAUAGCAAAAUUUUAUCAACAGAUUUUUAUGACUGACCAGUGAGUAGUAGAGCUGAUAUUUGCUGCUUAUGAGUAUUACAUGUUAUAUAUAUAUAUACCAAAUACACAAGAGAAAUAAGUUCUAGAUUACGCCAUUAGAUUUUUGUUGUUAUUUGCGCAAACGUCAUUAUUUCGUUGUUGUGUUGGUGAAGUGUCAAGUUUGGAAGAGAAAUGUGUCA